rnacentral:misc_RNA from 1 species
UUGUUUCACAUACACCUCUUCUUGUAGAUAACCAUUUAAAAAGGCACUUUUGACAUCCAUCUGAUAGAGUUUGAAUUCCAUAUGAGCAGCAUAUGCUAUCAAUAUUCUAAUUGCUUCAGUUCUUGCCACGGGUGCGAAAGUUUCAUCGUAGUCUAUCCCUUCUUCUUGGUUAUAUCCCUGUACAACUAGCCUGGCUUUGAUGCGUAUGAUUUG